GCACAAGCGGUGGAUGAUGUGGUUUAAUUCGAUGCAACGCGAAAACCUUACCCACCUUUGACAUGGCAGGAAUCCCGAAGAGAUUUGGGAGUGCUCGAAAGAGAACCUGCACACAGGUGCUGCAUGGCUGUCGUCAGCUCGUGUCGUGAGGUGUUGGGUUAAGUCCCGCAACGAGCGCAACCCUUGCCAUUAGUUGCUACGAAAGGGCACUCUAAUGGGACUGCCGGUGACAAACCGGAGGAAGGUGGGGAUGACGUCAAGUCCUCAUGGCCCUUAUAGGUGGGGCUACACACGUCAUACAAUGGCCGGUACAGAGGGUAGCCAACCCGCGAGGGGGAGCCAAUCCCACAAAGCCGGUCGUAGUCCGGAUCGCAGUCUGCAACUCGACUGCGUGAAGUCGGAAUCGCUAGUAAUCGCGGAUCAGCAUGUCGCGGUGAAUACGUUCCCGGGUCUU
rnacentral:rRNA from 1 species